AAGCGAUUUGCCUACAUGGUUGUAACGGGUAACGGGGAAUCAGGGUUCGAUUCCGGAGAGGGAGCAUGAGAAUGCUACACAUCUACGGAAGGCAGCAGGCGCGACAAAUUACCCACUCCUAGGAACGGGGAGGUAGUGAACGAAAAAUAACAAUACCGGACUCAAUGAGGCUCGGUAAUUGAAAUGAGUACAGUUUAAACCCUUAACGAGGAUCUAUUGGAGGGCAAGUCUGGUGCCAGCAGCCGCGGUAAUUCCAGCUCCAAUAGCGUAUAUUAAAGUUGUUGCAGUUAAAAAGCUCGUAGUUGGAUCUCGGGUACUAGCAUGUGGUACGCUUAACUGCGUUACUACAUGUCUGGUCCUAAUCAACCGGUUGGCCGUUGAUGCCCUUUAUUGGGUGUUUUCGGUAGCCGGUACGUUUACUUUGAGAAAAUUAGAGUGCUUAAAGCAGGCCUUACGCCUGAAUAAUGUUGCAUGGAAUAAUAGAAUAGGACCUCGGUUCUAUUUUGUUGGUUUUGUAGAGCAUUGAGGUAAUGAUUAAUAGGGACAGACGGGG
rnacentral:rRNA from 1 species